GAUUAAGUUAUUAAGGGCGCACGGUGGAUGCCUUGGCACUAGAAGCCGAUGAAGGACGUUACUAACGACGAUAUGCUUUGGGUAGCUGUAAGUAAGCGUUGAUCCAGAGAUUUCCGAAUGGGGGAACCCAGCACAAGUUAUGUUGUGUUAUCGACAAGUGAAUUCAUAGCUUGUCAGAAGGCAGACCCGGAGAACUGAAACAUCUUAGUACCCGGAGGAAGAGAAAGAAAAUUCGAUUCCCUGAGUAGCGGCGAGCGAAACGGGAAGAGCCCAAACCAAUAAGCUUGCUUAUUGGGGUUGUAGGACACUCUAUACGGAGUUACAAAGGAAUAUAUUAAACGAAUCAUCUGGAAAGUUGAAUCAAAGAAGGUAAUAAUCCUGUAGUUGAAAAUAUAUUCUCUCUUGAGUGGAUCCUGAGUACGACGGAGCACGUGAAAUUCCGUCGGAAUCUGGGAGGACCAUCUCCUAAGGCUAAAUACUCUCUAGUGACCGAUAGUGAACCAGUACCGUGAGGGAAAGGUGAAAAGUACCCCGGAAGGGGAGUGAAAGAGAACUUGAAACCGUGUGCUUACAAGUAGUCAGAGCCCGUUAAUGGGUGAUGGCGUGCCUUUUGUAGAAUGAACCGGCGAGUUACGAUCUGAUGCAAGGUUAAGCAGAAAAUGUGGAGCCGUAGCGAAAGCGAGUCUGAAUAGGGCGUAUAGUAUUUGGUCGUAGACCCGAAACCAGGUGAUCUACCCAUGGUCAGGUUGAAGUUCAGGUAACACUGAAUGGAGGACCGAACCGACUUACGUUGAAAAGUGAGCGGAUGAACUGUGGGUAGCGGAGAAAUUCCAAUCGAACUUGGAGAUAGCUGGUUCUCUCCGAAAUAGCUUUAGGGCUAGCCUCAAGUGAUGAUUAUUGGAGGUAGAGCACUGUUUGGACGAGGGGCCCCUCUCGGGUUACCGAAUUCAGACAAACUCCGAAUGCCAAUUAAUUUAACUUGGGAGUCAGAACAUGGGUGAUAAGGUCCGUGUUCGAAAGGGAAACAGCCCAGACCACCAGCUAAGGUCCCAAAAUAUAUGUUAAGUGGAAAAGGAUGUGGCGUUGCCCAGACAACUAGGAUGUUGGCUUAGAAGCAGCCAUCAUUUAAAGAGUGCGUAAUAGCUCACUAGUCGAGUGACACUGCGCCGAAAAUGUACCGGGGCUAAACAUAUUACCGAAGCUGUGGAUUGUCCUUUGGACAAUGGUAGGAGAGCGUUCUAAGGGCGUUGAAGCAUGAUCGCAAGGACAUGUGGAGCGCUUAGAAGUGAGAAUGCCGGUGUGAGUAGCGAAAGACGGGUGAGAAUCCCGUCCACCGAUUGACUAAGGUUUCCAGAGGAAGGCUCGUCCGCUCUGGGUUAGUCGGGUCCUAAGCUGAGGCCGACAGGCGUAGGCGAUGGAUAACAGGUUGAUAUUCCUGUACCACCUAUAAUCGUUUUAAUCGAUGGGGGGACGCAGUAGGAUAGGCGAAGCGUACGAUUGGAUUGUACGUCUAAGCAGUGAGAUUGAGUGUUAGGCAAAUCCGGCACUCUUAAGAUUGAGCUGUGAUGGGGAGAGGAAAUUGUUUCCUCGAGUCGUUGAUUUCACACUGCCGAGAAAAGCCUCUAGAUAGAGAUUAGGUGCCCGUACCGCAAACCGACACAGGUAGUCAAGAUGAGAAUUCUAAGGUGAGCGAGCGAACUCUCGUUAAGGAACUCGGCAAAAUGACCCCGUAACUUCGGGAGAAGGGGUGCUCUUUAGGGUGCAAGCCCAGAAGAGCCGCAGUGAAUAGGCCCAAGCGACUGUUUAUCAAAAACACAGGUCUCUGCUAAACCGUAAGGUGAUGUAUAGGGGCUGACGCCUGCCCGGUGCUGGAAGGUUAAGAGGAGUGGUUAGCUUCUGCGAAGCUACGAAUCGAAGCCCCAGUAAACGGCGGCCGUAACUAUAACGGUCCUAAGGUAGCGAAAUUCCUUGUCGGGUAAGUUCCGACCCGCACGAAAGGCGUAACGAUUUGGGCACUGUCUCAACGAGAGACUCGGUGAAAUCAUAGUACCUGUGAAGAUGCAGGUUACCCGCGACAGGACGGAAAGACCCCGUGGAGCUUUACUGUAGCCUGAUAUUGAAAUUCGGCACAGCUUGUACAGGAUAGGUAGGAGCCUUUGAAACGUGAGCGCUAGCUUACGUGGAGGCGUUGGUGGGAUACUACCCUAGCUGUGUUGGCUUUCUAACCCGCACCACUUAUCGUGGUGGGAGACAGUGUCAGGCGGGCAGUUUGACUGGGGCGGUCGCCUCCUAAAAGGUAACGGAGGCGCUCAAAGG
rnacentral:ncRNA from 1 species